rnacentral:rRNA from 1 species
UUGUCUUUUAAAUAAAGACCAGUAUGAAUGGCAAGACGAAAGUUCAACUGUCUCCCUAAAUUAAUCAAUGAAAUUGAUCUUCCCGUGCAGAAGCGGGAAUAUAAUUAUAAGACGAGAAGACCCUAUGGAGCUUUAAAUAUAUGAUCAAUUGUAUAACAUAUAAACCAAAAAGGUAAAAAAUUAAAUAAAACAUAGUGAUCAAAAUUUUAGGUUGGGGCGACCACGGAGAAAAACAAAACCUCCGAGAUGAAAAAUCUUAACUUAUGAACUACAGUUCUAAAAAAUAAAAUAUUUAACAUAAUUGAUCCAAUAUAUUGAUCAACGAACCAAGUUACCCUAGGGAUAACAGCGCAAUCCUUUCCAAGAGUUCCUAUCGACGAAUGGGUUUACGACCUCGAUGUUGGAUCAGGACACCCCGAUGGUGUAGCCGCUAUUAAAGGUUCGUUUGUUCAACGAUUAAAGU